rnacentral:tRNA from 1 species
UACCCUAUAAUUUAAUGGUAGAAUUAUAUACUUCUAAUAUAUAUAUAUAGGUUCAAUUCCUAUUAGGGUAU